UCUGGAAUUCGACAUUCAAAAAUACUUGGUGCAAUUUCGUUUUCGUCUGCAGGCUGAAAUAACAAAAAAGGGGCUGAAUCUACAAGAGGGGGUUUCGAUGUCAGGACAGAUUUUACGAGAAAGAAGGCAACGCUGGAAUUGGUCGCUUUUCUUUUCUUUCUUUACACAAUAACUACUAACUAUUGCUUGACUUUUCCGUCUGUUCAAACGCUGUAAAUUGUUAAAUUAAAUCGACGUAAGUACGAGGACAGGUCCGGAGCAGCUCGCCUUUUCAGUGAAGUGCUUAAUGAAAACACUUGCGCUUAAAUUAAUUAAAGCAUGUAUUUUGCAAACCUCUUAAUUUUAUGUUCAGAAUGUUUAUAGAUUAUGUAUUGAUUCUGAAUGUGUAUUAGUGAUGCUCUUAAUAAAUGCUUUUCGGGUUAUAUGUUUAUAUUAAUAGCAGUGUAUUGCCAGUAUGUUUUACUUUAACUCUAAUUAAAUUCAGAGUUAAUAAUAAUAAUAAUAAUACAGUCAACGUAUUAGAAUAUUUUCGCAGCCCUGAAGUAACGACAUUUGGAUGCGUAUUAAAAUGUGUAUGAUUUUAAUUUGUAUUUCCAUGAACGUGCCAUUAUUCGAUAUGAUCUAACCACCUUUACGUUUAUAUCAAAGGUGAUAACAAACAGACUGCAUCUUCAACCGGCCUGAAUGGUAAGACUUUACUGAAAGAUGACGAACCUCACCAUUGGUGUCUGUCACUGAUCUGAUUAGACUCGUGUACAGGGUCAUACAGUACGUAACUCCAUUAAAGAGCUAGUGAAGGAACAACAUUGUGUGGAAAGUGAAUAUGAUCAAUGUGUGUGUGUGUAUCCUGAACGUGUGUAUUGGCGUCCCGUUCAGGGCUGGAUUUUGUUCCUGCCAUUAGCACCAGGCACAACCUCAUCACGACCCUCAGCUGGAGGUUCAAAAAUCUAGGACGGAUAAGCAGAUUUGUGAUUUAUUUUAAUUAUAUCUCAUUUUGCUUCACAGCACCAGAAUCAUAACACAAUUCACUUUUCUAUCUUUCGUUGCAAUAUAUUUUAGUCAUGUAUGCCUUUUAAAACAGGUUGUAAUGUUGUAGAUGACGCUGUAUAAAAAGGUUGAAUUAUACAGAUACAUAAGCGAAAAAAGUGCAUACAUUUCAAUCAGCUCUGGGUUCUCAUAUUUUGAAAGGUAAUAUAGUGACAUGCAACUCACAAAUCCAACUGUAGAUCCUUGUGGAGUUGGCAGGUUCUCCCUGUGGGCCAGUACUCCAUCACUUACUGCCUAAUGCCUCUAAAUUGGCUCUUUUGUCAGGGCACCCUGUGAUGGGAUUCCUUUUCCUGUUCAGGGCUGCUUGAUUCUUUGCAGACGCCGCUGCCGGGUGAGGAUCCACCUCCCCGAGACACAGGUUUGUGAAUGUUAAGAUAAAAUCAAUAAAGUACAUGGCAAUAAUUAUCUUCACAAUUUUGCUUGAAAAGAUAUGAAAAAGUUAACUGGAAUGUGUCAGGAGACCAUUUGUAUAUGAACAUAAGUAAUAGAAUAGGCUGAUAUCCGUAUUCUGAAUCUAAAGAAGGACGCUAUUUAGACGAGUGAAUAUUCCACAUUUUGAACGGGAAAAAAACAUCACGUGGAAAGAGCGCUCCCUGGUGCUUAAAAACGAGUCUGACAAAUUGUAAGUCAACAGGCUAACUUGCUUUGAAUUGAUGCACUGAGCCUACUCUGGCAGCAUCGGGCAAAGACUGGAAUCAACCCUGGAAAGUUAUUAUUGAAUUAAAUGAUGUAGGGAAACAAUACACCAAUAAUGUGUUCAGCUCGGACUGCUUGUUGUUUUUUUGCGUGCAUAGGAAAACCUUUUUUGAAAAUAGUUCUCAAAUAUCAAAUUGACGUUGACUAGGCGUGGACCAUCACUUCAAAAAUUCCCUGGAAAUUCCCCAUUUAUAAGAAAAGUCAAUCUACAGACUUGACAGAGGGUACUUUCCAAAGGGGAGGGGUUUCAAUACACAAAACAGAUGAAACUUUGGGCAUUCCCUUUAUUUUAUCUUCACCCAAGCCUUGCACAUUGUUAAAUAUGAUGAACGUGUGGAUUAGCACUUCGGAGGACACUAGUGGAAAUUGCGAAGGAUGGUAUUGGACCACCUUGAUAGCUUGCCUAUACAUUCUGGCUGGAUUGCUACUUUGCACAAUGGCCUUCCUCACAGUUUCUUAUUUUGCGGUUAACCGCCCACGAACCUCCAGAGGUCGUUUUGGGUGGAAUCUGCCUCCCCUAUCGACAGAAGAAACACAGCCUCACGAAGGACCUGUCACCAUCACCUACUCAUAACUUCAUUCCACACACGUUAAGGUGCUGUUGGGCCAAUGGGGGCUCAUCACUUGUGUCAAAAUUUAAAGAAAGACUGGAUAAAGCAGCUUCGAGGAAGACCUUCCUGCUUUUACCUAAUCUUCUUUUUUUCAAGCUCCAGUACAACAAAGACACCCCCGUGCUGCUUCCAUCAGACUUCAAGUAUUUGAGCACUAUUGUUAGAAAUCCAGUUUUUGGGAAUGGUGCUAAAAUUAGCAGGACACUUUGGGGUUCAAAGAACAUGGAAUCCUUGAUCCUUCCUUGACGUUUUGCUGCACAGUAAUGGUUUUCCAGUUUCUGUUUGCUCUAGGCGAUGUGUUCAACGGUCAUGAAGACCACACACAUGGACUUCUGUCCUGGAGACACUUGUUGGUGCCAGCAGCCCUGGCACCAUGACAGCAUUAACCACAAGACCUGAAAUCAAUUGGAUUUCCAUUUUAAUUACGUUACAAAAACAACAGUGUAAAAGACUAAAGCAUUAAUUAGUGGGUGCCAUUCCUCUGCAUCCUGGCUAACUUUUGCUACUGACACUUGUUUACAUGAAUCAUUUUAUUGACACUUUGGAUGGUCAGUAAAGAAAAUGAUUGUGUUUCCAUUUGGUACUUGAGUAUGUCCUGGGGUGAAAUGUGGCAGCUUCUCAGUGAGGACAUUUGCACUGUUUGAAGCCCUUACAGUAAUGAGAUUACCAGAGGACCCUUUUAAGGCCUGGUGCUAACGGCUGUCACGCCCAGUAUGUUCACUGUUCGGUGUUUAAGAAUACCUCAAACGAGAUGUGCAAUGAAACACCUUCCAAAGUAUUUCAUUAAAUCAUUUAGAGGAUACAAAUAUUAUUUUAUAUAAAUAUAUAUAUAUAUUUUUUGACAAGAUGGCACUGGUGUAUGCCAUCUGUUGCUGUCAGCUUUACUUUAGCUUUUCUUUUUUGUUGCUUAUUGUAUAUCAGUCCAGCAUGUUGCUUUGUUUGUCAUGAUCGCCGAGCACUAUUUUAACAGUCAACUUGCUGCCAAAUGACCUGGGUGAACAGAAAAUGUCUCCUCAUCUAUCGACAAUGCCUGCUCACCUCUGGUAUACUUUGAUUGGUCCACCUCAGAGAAGACGGAAAGAUGCAGGACAUGGGGAAAGCACAGUGUUUUUUGUUGGUGAGAAUUCAUUUCAUCUGGCUUUGUUUUAUGGAUUGAAUCCCCAUUGUAUUUUGUCCAAAUACGGAUUUAAUCAUCACCAUGUUGUUUCCUGACGGUCUCUGGGCUUGCGUGGGACGCUUCUGUUCUUGGAAUGGCUUUUGAAUAGUGCUGUCGUCUUUGCUCUGUAUUUUUUUGUUUUAAUAUUUUAUUUUAUUCUAGGUUUUAUUUUACAUUUUAUUGUUCAUCACUUUGUGACCUCUGUCUGUGAUAAGCACUUUAUAAAUAAAUUUUUACUUUAUAUUA